rnacentral:sRNA from 1 species
UCGGUGUUGAUGCCUUGACUGGCGACCGG